GUCCUAAGGUGUACCGUAAUUCGAGUACAUCGAAAGGGAAACAGGUUAAUAUUCCUGUACCAUUCAUCUGCAGUUCUUCGGAACCCUGACACUUCGGGGUAUGUUGAGCGGGGUCGUCGCCCCGUCCAAGCGUAUAAUCCCAGGGAGUACCGCAAUGGUGAGAAAUGGGAGAAAGCGUGAUGGGGAAACUCGACAAAUUCCUGGAGUCCAUGAAAAGGGAGAUGAAUGUCCGUACCGAGAACUGACACAGGUGCCCCUCGCUGAAAAGGCGAAGGCGUGUCGGAUUUAAUCGUGUUAAGGGAACUCGGCAAAUUGGCCCCGUAACUUUGGGAGAAGGGGUGCCUGCCUGGAGAUCAGGCAGGUCGCAGUGACCAGGGAGCUCUGACUGUCUAAUAACAACAUAGGUGACUGCAACUCGGAAACGACUAGUAUAGUCACUGAUUCCUGCCCAGUGCAAGUAUCUGAACACCCGGUACAACGGGACGAAGGACUUGUAAACGGCGGGGGUAACUAUGACCCUCUUAAGGUAGCGUAGUACCUUGUCGCUUAAUUGGCGACUUGCAUGAAUGGAUUAACAAGAGCUCUACUGUCCCUAACACGAAUCCGUUGAACUUUUUGUCCUAGUGCAGAGACUAGGGACUCCUAUUGGGAAGUGAAGACCCCGUGGAGCUUUACUGCAGCCUGUCGUUGGGUUACGAUAUUACAUGCGCAGGGUAGAUGGGAGGUGUCGAUCCGUUCCUUGUGGGGAACGGGGAGCCAACGAUGAGACACCAUCCUUGUUUUCUUGUAACUCUAACUCUAACGAGGACAUCGGUAGGUAGGCAGUUUGGGUGGGGCGCCACACCCUCGAAAAAAUAUCAAGGGUGCCCUAAGGUCAACUCAUGUGAGUCAGAAACUCACAGGAGAGUGUCAAGAGCAUAAGUUGGCCUGACGCGAUUACGAACAGCAAGUAAUCGCGAGAGGAAACUCGGGUCUAACGAACCAAUACGCCCUUUUGGUGAGGGCUAUUGACGACAGAAAAGCUACCCCGGGGAUAACAGAGUCGUCGCCGGCAAGAGCACAUAUCGACCCGGCGGCUUGCUACCUCGAUGUCGGUUCUUUCCAUCCUGGCUGUGCAGCAGCAGCCAAGGGUGAGGUUGUUCGCCUAUUAAAGGGGAUCGUGAGCUGGGUUUAGACCGUCGUGAGACAGGUCGGUUACUAUCUAAUAGGAGUGUCAGGAGUCUGAAGGCAAGAAUGAAAUAGUACGAGAGGAACUUUCAUUCGGCGCCUCUGGUCGAUCGGUUGUCCGACAGGGCAAUGCCGAGCAGCUACGCGCCAAGGGAUAAAAGCUGAAAGCAUCUAAGCUUGAAACCCCGCCUAAAAAGAGACUCCGUCAUAGGACAUCGGUAAAAGACCGGUUUGAUAGGCCUGGGAUGUACGCACGAAGGUAACGACGUGUUCAGUCCGCAGGUACUAACGUCCGAAGCGCUAGUGCU
rnacentral:rRNA from 1 species